UGGUGACGAUGGCGAGGUGGAUCCACCUGUUCCCAUCCCGAACACAGAAGUUAAGCACCUCAGCGCCGAAGAUAGUUAAUACAAAUAGCAAAAAUAGGACGUUGCCAGGCA
rnacentral:rRNA from 1 species